UACGGAGGGUGCGAGCGUUGUCCGGAAUCACUGGGCGUAAAGGGCGCGUAGGCGGUCUGUUAAGCGUGCGGUGAAAGCCUGGGGCUCAACCCCAGGUCUGCCGUGCGAACUGGUGGACUUGAGCACUGUAGAGGCGGGUGGAAUUCCGGGUGUAGCGGUGGAAUGCGUAGAGAUCCGGAAGAACACCGGUGGCGAAGGCGGCCUGCUGGGCAGUUGCUGACGCUGAUGCGCGACAGCGUGGGGAGCAAACAGG
rnacentral:rRNA from 1 species